UAAUGUUGUGUUCUAGCUCCUUCAGCUCCACAGAACUUGACUGUGGACUCAGUUUCUGCUACAUCUGCUAAACUCAGCUGGAAUCUGUCAGAUGGGAAGGAGCAGAAGACCACCUGGUUAAGAUGGGGGAAUAAGAAUUCAUAUAGAUUCCUGAUCUCUUACCACAGUGAAAGGAUUGGAACAAAGAAGUUCUACACAGUGAGCCAGUAUACAGACAUUACAGACUUGAAGCCAGAUACUGAGUUCACUGUCAGUGUGUGCACUGUGGGCAAGAAUGGAGAAAGGAGUUCAUCUGCUUCCAAUCACUUCCACACAGAUUCAGAAACUGAUUCAACAAGGAUUAGCCCUGCUAAUGCUGCCUUCAAAACUGAAAAAAAACAUUUUUUCACACAAAGUUUUGGUAAAACUCCCAUCAAAUACACACAGUCAAUAAAGGAUAUUCUAAAUAAAAAUGACCUGACAGAAGUGAACUCAGUGGAGGAGUGUGACAUUGUCCUGGCAUUUUGUCUGAUUCUAUCUCGUGCUGGAACAGACAUUCAAGCAGCACUGGCAGAAAUAAAAGACACUAAACCAGUCAUCCUGGUGGUGAUGCACCACACCAUCAAGCCGAACCAACAUGUACCAAGCAGCAGCAGAUUUGUUAAAGGAGAGAAAGUUGUGCUCACAGUGGACUGUCUGUUCCACGAGGACCAGGGUCUGCUGAGAUGUCAACAGAACGACGUGGCCUUCACACACAUUCAGAACAACCUGCCGCAGCUGGUCCAUUACAAAAAAACAAAUUCUACAGAAUAUGGCACUGCACUCUGAUUCUGCGUCCCAGAAUCCAAUGUGGGACCUAACCAGAAUCGUCUGGGAGCUUUGUGACACUGUCUUUAACUGCAUUUAUUCAUGCUGUCAUUUUAUGGUUCUGUCAAAUUUCUGAAUUAUGGCAAUAUGUAAUUAAUUGUGGCCAGUUUUAUUUUUGGGAUUUCUGGGAAGUUUUUUGUGAUUUUUAUACAUGCAAUUUGUCCUCAGGACAUUAAUUUUAAGGAAACAUUUAGGCGUAAUCGAGAUGGUUUUCAAGUAUGAAUCUAUUUAAUCAAACUGUCAACCUUUACUUGUUUCUAUGCGCUGUAUGAAAUAUGUUGGUAGUAGCCUAGUGGGUGACACACUCGCCUGUGAACCAGAAGACCCAGGUUCAAACCCCACUUACUACAAUUGUGUCCCUGAGCAGGACACUUAACCCUAAGUUGCUCCAGGAGAACUGUCCCUGUAACUACUGAUUGUAAGUCACUCUGGAUAAAGGCGCCUGAUAAAUGCUGUAAAUGUAAAUGUAAAUGUUCGUGUUCUGUGCUAGUGUUUAGACAUUCCUCAUUGUAAAAGGUUUAUUCAUAUGGGUGGUGCACCUUAUCAUGUGAGGCCUUUUCUGAGAACCUUUCUUAGACCUAAGCUGUAGUUAAUAAUAAAAAAGUGGCAAGAUGAAUCA
rnacentral:lncRNA from 1 species